GAUGAACGCUGGCGGCGUGCCUAAUACAUGCAAGUCGAGCGAACAGACGAGGAGCUUGCUCCUCUGACGUUAGCGGCGGACGGGUGAGUAACACGUGGAUAACCUACCUAUAAGACUGGGAUAACUUCGGGAAACCGGAGCUAAUACCGGAUAAUAUAUUGAACCGCAUGGUUCAAUAGUGAAAGACGGUUUUGCUGUCACUUAUAGAUGGAUCCGCGCCGCAUUAGCUAGUUGGUAAGGUAACGGCUUACCAAGGCGACGAUGCGUAGCCGACCUGAGAGGGUGAUCGGCCACCCUGGAACUGAGACACGGUCCAGACUCCUACGGGAGGCCGCAGUAGGGAAUCUUCCGCAAUGGGCGAAAGCCUGACGGAGCAACGCCGCGUGAGUGAUGAAGGUCUUCGGAUCGUAAAACUCUGUUAUUAGGGAAGAACAAAUGUGUAAGUAACUAUGCACGUCUUGACGGUACCUAAUCAGAAAGCCACGGCUAACUACGUG
rnacentral:rRNA from 1 species